UCUUUCACAAUGUUCUCUCUGGUGAUCCUUGCAGUGAGAAGAGACUGAAGUAUGCUAGCAUAGAGGCUAGUGUAAAGGUGACUGUACAGUUCUGGUUAAGAUAAAAUGAGGUCCAAACCAGAGCAGUGACUGUGAAGAUACCAGAGAUGAUAAAUCCAUAUUAGUUUUUCCUAACACUUUACUAUGAACAUUUUCGAACAUUCAGGAACUCAAAUAACUAUACCACAAAAAACUCAUAUAUCCACCACACAGAUUCUGCAUUUAUCAUGUAUCUAUCCAUGCAUCCACCCAUGUGUUAGCUUUCCGUCACUGUGACAUGCACCUGAUAUAAUUAACUUGUCAAGAGAAAAGUUUUAUUUUGAUUCGUAGUUUUGAUGUUUCCAGGUCAUGAUUGAUUGGUCCCUGUUGCUUUGGGCCUAUGGUGGCAUAUUGUAGUAAGAGUACAUGGCAGGGCUGGGGUUGUGGCUCAGUUGGCAGAGCACUUGCCUGGCACAUGUGAGGCAUUGGGUUCGAUCCUCGGCACCACAAGAAAAUAAAGGCGUUGUGUCCAUCUACUAGAAAAAGUAUUUAAAAAAAAAAGGAGUACAUGGCAGAGAAAAACUGCUCACUUUAUGGCCAAAAAUCAAAAGAAAGCUGAAGAAGAAGAGGCGGGGAUGACACUAUCACUUUCAGGGGCACACCCCCAAUCACCUUUGUACCUCCAGUAGGCCCCAAUUCUUAAAGGUCCCAUUACCUCUUUAUAGCACCAUAGGCUGGACACCAAGCAUGUUAAUACAUGGACCCUUUGGGGACACUUUUCCAAAUCUCAAUACCACCUUUUAUACAUUUAAAAUUUACUGAUGCCUUCACAUCCCUUCAAACACUUAAGCAUGCGUGUGAUUUAGUAGAGUUCAAUAUUUGUGAUUCUUCUUAUUUUUGGUGCUGGGGAUCAAAUCCAGGGCCUUAUACAGGCUAAGCAAGCACUUUACCACUGAGUUGCACCCUAGUCCCUUGCAUUUUUGUGUGUGUGCGGUACAGAGGAUUGAAACCAGGGGUGCCUUACCAUUGGGAUAUAUCCACAUCCUUGCCUUUUUUAAAAUUUUGAGACAAGGUCUCACUAAAGUUGCCAUGGUUGACCUCAAACUUGAUGCCUGUCUCAGCCUCUCAAGUUGCUGGGAUUCCAAAUGUGUACCACCAUGACUGGCCCUUGUAAUUCUUUCUUAGAAUAUCCAUACAAUUAAAUAAGUGCACACAUCUUAAGAGAAUAAUUUUGUGUGUUUUGACAAAUACUUAUACCUUGUAACUCACACCCCUACCAAGAUCCAGAACAUUAUGAUCAACCCUGAAAAUUCCCAUGUAUCCUUCCCAAUUGCAGCCCUUCCCUCUUACAGAGUAGGACUUCAGUGUGAAAGACUAGGAUUUGGAACUUGUGAAAAUAAUUGUCCCAAUAAUCUGUGUGGUUCCUCUCCAGAAAAGUCACGGAGACAGGUAACUAGGCAGGAUACACAAGCAUUAGUAAAUAACUUGAAUGGAAGUUCUUCAACCUUCCUCCCCUCUCCCUAAUAAGCCUUAUCUUUAUAGAUCAGUGCAUGAAUCAAUGAACCAAAGAGGAAUCUAGGCAAGGGGCUGUUGGUCUCUGAAGAGUUAGUAGUCUUGUAAGCGAGUAACAAUUCAGCAUAACAGAUGUUGAAUGCUAUAACUUAAGAGGGGAAGAAGAAAGAAUUAAAGUAACCCAAAAGUGCCAUAAGGGUUUGAAGUAGGUGUGUGUGUUGUGUGGGGGUGAUUGAGAAGCAUUCAUAGGAAAAGGGAAAAGAACAUUUAGCAGGCAUGAAAAAUUUCCUGGAGUGUGAGGAGUUGUGUUGAAAGACAUUGACUUUGAUAAUAAGUAUGAUAGACAAAGAUGUUUUUAGUUGCAGAUAACAGAAAACAAGCAAUGAGACAUUGGCUCAUGUCU
rnacentral:lncRNA from 1 species